rnacentral:tRNA from 1 species
GGGAGUAGCUCAGUUGGUAGAGCACCGGUCUCCAAAACCGGGUGUCGCAGGUUCGAGUCCUGUCUCCC